UACGUAGGGACCGAGCGUUGUCCGGAAUCAUUGGGCGUAAAGAGCGUGUAGGCGGCCACUUAAGUCCUGCGUGAAAUCUUGCGGCUCAACCGCAAGCGGUCGUGGGAAACUGGGUGGCUAGAGUGUGGCAGAGGGGGGUGGAAUUCCACGUGUAGCAGUGAAAUGCGUAGAUAUGUGGAGGAACACCGAUGGCGAAGGCAGCCCCCUGGGUUAACACUGACGCUCAUGCACGAAAGCGUGGGGAGCAAACGGG
rnacentral:rRNA from 1 species